UUUAUUUGAUUUCCUUCGGGACUGAUUAUUUUGUGACUGAGUGGCGGACGGGUGAGUAACGCGUGGGUAACCUGCCUUGUACAGGGGGAUAACAGUUGGAAACGGCUGCUAAUACCGCAUAAGCGCACGGCAUCGCAUGGUACUGAGGGAAAAGGAUUUAUUCGCUUUAGGAUGGACUCGCGUCCAAUUAGCUAGUUGGUGAGGUAACGGCCCACCAAGGCGACGAUUGGUAGCCGGACUGAGAGGUUGAACGGCCACAUUGGGACUGAGACACGGCCCAGACUCC
rnacentral:rRNA from 1 species